UGACAAAGUACAAAUAACACCGUACCGAAAGAAAGUUUUCGUGUACUGUUGACAUACAUCCUGUAAAUGAAUUACAUUUCUAAUUUUGUUGCAGAAAUAAUUACAAUAUAGAAAACAACAUUCGUAAAUAUGCAAAUGACGAAAUUAUAAAUAUAAAUAUUCAAUAAUUUUCUUUCCAUGAUUGUACACUUGUUUGUGUAAUAUACACCUAAUGAAGUACGCUAACAUAGGGAUAGGGAUUUUAGUUGGAAAAUUAGUUAAAGUUUACUGAUUAAAAUGAGGAUAAUAAUAAUACAUUAUUGUUUAUAAAAUCCAAUUGGCAAAGAAUUAUAACUAUGGCAUAUUUAAUGGGAAAUUUCCACAAAAACAUGAUUUUACAGAAAAGUUAACUUCAAUCGUCUUCCUUGUCUUGUUAUUUGUAGCGCAAUUUUCUUUCUUCCUUCGCGUUCCAUCAAAAUGAAGCUUUUAAGUCGGAACAAAUGCAAUUUUUACCGAUCACUGUAAUGUAUAUGUUUCUCUGUCACUUUACAAAACGUACUAUUUAUUGCACAGUUGCGUUACGCAUUUGUUUGUUUUAAAAAGUCAGUGCGUUAUUUCUACUGCAAAGUAUUGAUAUUAUUUGCAGAUAAUCGCAUAAAAUACUAACAUAAUGUUUCCGAAUGUGUUCUCUUGUAAUUAUGUAUGGUUACAAUUAUCUCACAUCUUUGUUUUUUAAUUGGAUGAAAGUGUAUGUGUGUGUGUUAUACGUAUGUAAAAAUUUGGAUAUAACUUACAAACACACCUUACAUGGCCUUUGUGCGAAAUAUCGCAGAUAAUUGCUAUAUGUAUAUUGAAGUUGAUGGCUAUAUGGAUGUUGAAGUUGAAUCAAUUAAAAAACAAUUUCAAAACAGCUAACUGCGAUUACCUGUGUGGGAUUUACAUCUAUGUAAAUUGUUUUUACUGGUUUAAAUAACUAAAUAAAUUGCAUGUUGUUUACAUUAGAUGUCUUAAUUAAUAGUUGCGGCAUCGUUUACAUAUUCCUAUCACACAUCAUGUGGCAAUUUCUGAAAACUAUUCUGUUACAGAACAGAUUAUUUCCGUAACUUUAAUUAAGUGCCCUUACUGAAGAAUUUUACGUCAGCACGCCAUGAUACAAACAAACCGUUUAAAACAAUUUUAAGACGUUACAGACAUGUGUUGAUUCUUAACAGAACGAAAGAUUUGACAUACAAAUAUAUGUUUCCAAUAUUUCGAACUGUUUCGUUUAUCAAUGUAAUAAGAACGAUUUUGUUCCUUGGUCUUUACUCAUGAUUAUUGUAUUCCUUGUAAUAUACAAACAUUUCGUCCUCUCUUUGGAAAAUACUAAUGUUUCAAAUAGUAUAAUACCAUCAUAGUGGUAUUGAAUAAACGACAUUGUAUUUAGUAAAGUGAAAAUCGUAUCAUUAGGAAUAAAUUUGUUGACCCGGAGGGUGUAAUUGUUUUCUACAUUUAAUUGUAUGUUUAGUUUUGUAGAGAAACAAUUUAUUCGUAUCCCCAAAAUACCCACAACAUACUGUAUCAUUGCAGUGUAUAAUAAUGUACUAUUAAGUCAUUUAUACUGAAUUAAGAAAAUUGCAUUCCCUUCGCUUGAUAGUUUACUUAUGAUUACCUCUGCAGUAGUAAUAAUUAUGAACACAACAAGAUAAUUUUAAUUAUUUUCACAGCAUUCACAGUAACCGAUGAUCACUAUCCCCCUAUUACGAGCCCCUCCUUCAGUUGUCUUGGUAGAAAGCUUCACUAAUGUCCAAUAUUUAUGCAUAUUUUUUCUACAACUAUUCUGUACCUUUAUAACUACAAUUUUCAUUAUUUUUACAGAUUUCACAGUCACCUAUCAUCGCCGCUCCCCUACGACCCUCUCUUUUAGUUGUCUUGCCACAAUUUCGGAUUUAACCGUCACCGAUAAUUUUCGCCACUCUACGAGCAUCCCUUUAACUUGUCCUGUCACAGUUUUUGAUUUCACAGUCAGAGAUAAUUUUCGCCACUCUA
rnacentral:lncRNA from 1 species